rnacentral:rRNA from 1 species
GAUGAACGCUAGCGGGAGGCUUAACACAUGCAAGUCGAGGGGCAGCAUAGGGUAGCAAUACUCUGAUGGCGACCGGCAAACGGGUGAGUAACGCGUAUGCAACCUACCCUGUACAGGGGAUAACCCGGAGAAAUUCGGACUAAUAUCCCGUAAUAAUAUCCGGAGGCAUCUUUGGAUAUUUAAAGUUCCGACGGUACGGGAUGGGCAUGCGUAACAUUAGCUGGUUGGUAAGGUAACGGCUUACCAAGGCUAUGAUGUUUAGGGGUCCUGAGAGGGUGGUCCCCCACACUGGUACUGAGACACGGACCAGACUCCUACGGGAGGCAGCAGUGAGGAAUAUUGGUCAAUGGGCGCAAGCCUGAACCAGCCAUCCCGCGUGCAGGAAGACGGCCCUAUGGGUUGUAAACUGCUUUUCCAGGGAGAGAAACUUACGCACGUGUUGCGUGACUGACGGUACCCUGGGAAUAAGCAUCGGCUAACUCCGUG